UCCUGAAAAUCUUCUCUUAGUAUAAAUAUGGCGGCAGUGGUGUGGUUAGUUCUCCCAAAGAUUAGGCUUUUCUCCGUGGUUUUUACGAUGGAUUUUACAGUACAGGUUCCAUAUAAAAGGAUUUUGAUGUGGGGCACAGCAGUCGGCUGAUGUUCGCUUCAGGCAGGCGUUUUGCAGACAAAUUGACAUUUCCUUGUGAUAAUGCUUAACUUGACAAUAAACUAAAUAAAUUUAUGAGUGAAAUCAUCA